GGACCCGUAGCUCAGCUGGAUAGAGCGCUGCCCUCCGAAGGCAGAGGUCGCACGUUCGAAUCGUGUCGGGUCCGCCA
rnacentral:tRNA from 4 species